UACGUAGGGGGCAAGCGUUGUCCGGAUUUAUUGGGCGUAAAGAGCGUGUAGGCGCCAGACAGGUCCGUUGUGAAAACUCGAGGCUCAACCUCGAGACGUCGAUGGAAACCGUCUGGCUAGAGUCCGGAAGAGGAGAGUGGAAUUCCUGGUGUAGCGGUGAAAUGCGCAGAUAUCAGGAAGAACACCCGUGGCGGAAGGCGGCUCUCUGGGACGGUACUGACGCUGAGACGCGAAAGCGUGGGGAGCGAACAGG
rnacentral:rRNA from 1 species